UACGGAGGGUGCGAGCGUUGUCCGGAAUCACUGGGCGUAAAGGGCGCGUAGGCGGGUGAUCAAGUCCGGGGUGAAAUCCUUCAGCUCAACUGGAGAAUAGCCUUGGAUACUGGUCGCCUCGAGGGAGGUAGGGGCGGGCGGAACUUCCGGUGGAGCGGUGAAAUGCGUAGAUAUGUGGAGGAACACCGAUGGCGAAGGCAGCCCCCUGGGCUAACACUGACGCUCAUGCACGAAAGCGUGGGGAGCAAACAGG
rnacentral:rRNA from 1 species